rnacentral:rRNA from 1 species
GAGUUUGAUCGUGGCUCAGAACGAACGCUGGCGGCAGGCUUAACACAUGCAAGUCGAACGCGUGUAGCAAUACACGAGUGGCGCACGGGUGAGUAACACGUGGAUAUCUGCCUUUUGGUUCGGAAUAACCCUGGGAAACUAGGGCUAAUACCGAAUGGUUCCUACGGGAUAAAGAUUUAUCGCCAAAAGAUGAGUCCGCGUCCGAUUAGCUAGUUGGUGAGGUAAUGGCUCACCAAGGCGACGAUCGGUAGCUGGUCUGAGAGGACGAUCAGCCACACUGGGACUGAGACACGGCCCAGACUCCUACGGGAGGCAGCAGUGGGGAAUCUUCCGCAAUGGGCGAAAGCCUGACGGAGCAAUGCCGCGUGAACGAUGAAGG